CAAGACGUAGCUAUAAGCUAAAGCAUUCAGCUUACACCUGAAAGAUAUCUGUUACUCACCAGAUCGUCUUGA
rnacentral:tRNA from 1 species